rnacentral:rRNA from 1 species
GUACGGGGGGGGCAAGCGUUGUUUCGGAAUUACUGGGCGUAAAGGGCGCGUAGGCGGUUCAUUAAGUUGGAUGUGAAAACUCUGGGCUUAACUCAGAGCCUUGCAUUCAAAACUGAUGGGCUGGAGUUCUGGAGGGGAUAGCGGAAUUUCCUGGUGUAGCGGUGAAAUGCGUAGAUAUCAGGAGGAACACCGGUGGCGAAGGCGGCUAUCUGGACAGAAACUGACGCUGAGGCGCGAAAGCGUGGGGAGCAAACAGG